GACGAACGCUGGCGGCGUGCUUAACACAUGCAAGUCGAACGGAAAGGCCCUUCGGGGUACUCGAGUGGCGAACGGGUGAGUAACACGUGGGUGAUCUGCCCUGCACUUUGGGAUAAGCCUGGGAAACUGGGUCUAAUACCGAAUAGGACCGCGCUCUUCAUGGUGUGUGGGGGCAAGCUUUUGCGGUGUGGGUUGGGCCCGCUGCCUAUCAGCUUGUUGGUGGGUUAAUGGCCUACCAAGUCGCGGACGGGUAGCCGUCCUGAGAGGGUGACCGGCCACACUGGGACUGAGAUACGGCCCAGACUCGUACCGGCGGCAGCAGUGGGGAGUAUUGCACAAUGGGCGCAAGCCUGAUGCAGCGACGCCGCGUGAGGGAAGACGGCCUUCGGGUUGUAAACAAAUUUCACCAGAGACGAAGCGCAAGUGACGGUACCUGGAGAAGAAGCACCGGCCAACUACGU
rnacentral:rRNA from 1 species